rnacentral:rRNA from 1 species
AACGAACGCUGGCGGCAUGCUUAACACAUGCCAGUCGAACGGAUAGGCCCUGCUUUUGUGGGGUGCUAGCGUGGCGAACGGGUGAGUAACAUGUGAGUAACCUGCCCUUGACUUUGGGAUAACUUCAGGCAACCGGUGAUAAUACCGGAUAGGAGCUCCUGAUGCAUGGUGGGGUUUGGAACGUUUAGGAGGGUAGGGAUGGACUCCCGGCUGAUGAGCUUGUUGGUGGGGUAGUGGCGUACCAAGGCUUUGACGGGUAGCCGGCAGGAGAGGGUGAGCGGGGACACUGGGACUGAGAUACGGCACAGACUGGUAAAGGAGGCAGCAGUGGAGAAUAUUGCACAAUGGGCGGAAGCAUGAUGAAGCGACGCCGCGAGCGUGAAGAGGGCCGUCGGGUUGGAAACGGCAUUCGGCUGAGACGAAGCUGGUGUGACGUUAAUAGGUAAAGAAGCACCGGCUAACUACGUG